AUGGUGCAAUCUCAGCUCACUGCAACCUCUGCCUUCUGGGUUCAAGUGAUUCUCGUGCCUCAGACUCCCAAGUAGCUAGGAUUACAGGUCAUCUGAAUAUCCAGGCACAACCCAGGCAUACUAGACCUUGAUCACACUGGAAGUGCGUGACCAUGGGGAUGUGGUGUGUAAAGCAAGAAAACAUAGGGACAGAAAUACAACACUGGAGAGAUCACUUGAUGUCAUUUCUGAUGGCUUUUAUCCAUCCUGCCCAAAUAAAAUAAACAAAUUACCCUGCUACUUUA
rnacentral:lncRNA from 10 species